CUUUUUCCCUUAUGUCUGUAAGCAGCCUCACUCUCUCUGUAACACUUGAACUCUCUCUCUCUCUCUAAGCUUCGAGAAGGAGACCACCAUCACCCACGCCAUUUUUGUCCAAAUAAAACCCCCAAACUUUUACUUUUGAGACUUAUGGGACACAAGGAAUUAUAUGGUGGUUUUGCAUGCACCAUUGGAGCACUGUGAGGUGUUCUUCCAUGGAGUCCGAGAGCUUUAAGCUCUACUUAGAACUCAGGUGUUGGGUGGUGUCCUUGCCGAUUCAAAACUCAACGUCAUCCCCAUCAUCGCGGUCCGAUCAUCCAUCAUCAUCGUCACCACCGCCAUCGUCAUCUUACUCAAAAGUCGACAAGCAAGGGAAAUCGGACUGCGGCGCUGCCAACAAAGGGUUUAGGUGGGGAAAAGAAAAAAAAAAACAAAGGAUCCAUGUACCCGGCCCGUUUCAAAUGGGUCGGGUUAGGUCUGGUGAUUAGAUUUGCAAUGCCCAACCCAUUUCCUUUUUAAGCGGGUCUAGUUCGGUCCCUCCAAAUUUGGACCCUAUCUGGUACUGUUCAUUUUAACAAAAACCCACAUUUUAACACUAAAAAGUCAAUCAUGUACUA